rnacentral:rRNA from 1 species
UGAGUACGAGAUGCUACGGCAUCGAAGCAGUCUAUGUCAUACUUCCAAGAAAAGCUUGCACUGUCAUAAACAAAGAAUGCCUGUACCAUAACCGACACAGGUGGGUAGGUAGAGUAUACUAAGGGGCGCGAGAUAACUCUCUCUAAGGAACUCGGCAAAAUGACUCCGUAACUUCGGGAGAAGGAGUGCCUUAUUUAUAAGGUUGCAAUAACAAGAUCCAAGCAACUGUUUACCAAAAACACAGGUCUCCGCGAAGUCGUAAGACGAUGUAUGGGGGCUGACGCCUGCCCAGUGCCAGAAGGUUAAAGAAGUUGGUUAGCACUCGCGAAGCUGAUAACUGAAGCCCUGGUGAACGGCGGCCGUAACGAUAACGGUCCUAAGGUAGCGAAAUUCCUUGUCGGGUAAGUUCCGACCCGCACGAAAGGCGUAAUGAUUUGGAUACUGUCUCGGAGAGGGACUCGGUGAAAUAGACUUGUCUGUGAAGAUGCGGACUACCUGCACCUGGACAGAAAGACCCUAUGAAGCUUUACUGUAACUUGAAAUUGAAAUUGGACUUUAUUUGCGCAGUAUAGGUGGGAGGCAUUGAAAAGAACCUUGCGGGGUUCUUGGAGCCAUCAGUGAGAUACCACUCUUGUAAUGUUAGAUUUCUAACUUUGUAUCAUUAUCUGGUCAAAGGACAGUUUCAGGCGGGCAGUUUGACUGGGGCGGUCGCCUCCCAAACGGUAACGGAGGCGCACAAAGGUUUCCUCUGAACGGGUAGAAAUCGUAUCUAGAGUGUAAAGGCAUAAGGAAGCUUGACUGUGAGACCUACAAGUCGAGCAGGGACGAAAGUCGGUCUUAGUGAUCUGACGGUGCUGAGUGGAAAGGCCGUCACUCAACGGAUAAAAGUUACUCUAAGGAUAACAGGCUGAUCUCCCCCAAGAGUUCACAUCGACGGGGAGGUUUGGCACCUCGAUGUCGGCUCAUCGCAUCCUGGGGCGGUAGUACGUCCCAAGGGUUGGGCUGUUCGCCCAUGAAAGCGGUACGCGAGCUGGGUUCAGAACGUCGUGAGACAGUUCGGUCCAUAUCCGGUGUAGGCGUUAGAAUAUUGAGAGGAGCCUUCUCUAGUACGAGAGGACCGAGAAGGACAUACCUCUGGUGUACCAGUUAUCGUGCCAACGGUAAACGCUGGGUAGCUAUGUAUGGAGUGGAUAACCGCUGAAAGCAUCUAAGUGGGAAGCCCACCUCAAGAUGAGUGCUCUCACAGGGUUAACCUGGUAAGGUCACGGGAAGACCACCCGUUAAUAGGCACUAGGUGGAAGUCCAGUAAUGGAUGGAGCCAAGGUGUACUAACAGACCGAGGGCUUGAC